rnacentral:snoRNA from 1 species
CCUGCUGUGUCACCUGUGCGCCAGCAGAGAAGAGAGGCUAUGUUUAUGCUCAGCAUUCCGGCCUAUGAACAGCUGAAGGAUUAGUGGCCUAACAUU